rnacentral:rRNA from 1 species
GACGAACCGUGCGAACGUUAUUCGGAAUCACUGGGCUUAAAGCGCGUGUAGGCGGAACGGCACGUCGGUCGCUGAAAUCCCCCGGCUCAACCGGGGAACGGGCGCCGAUACGACCGUUCUCGAGGGACGUAGGGGGACCUGGAACUUCCGGUGGAGCGGUGAAAUGCGUUGAGAUCGGAAGGAACGCCCGUGGCGAAAGCGAGGUCCUGGACGUCUGCUGACGCUGAGACGCGAAAGCCAGGGGAGCGAACGGG